UUUAAGUGCAACCAUAAGUUUUAACGUCCAACUUUGAUCGUCCAUCUUAUUUGAAAAUUUUUUAUAAUUAGUAUUUUUGUUGUUAUGAGAUGAUAAGACAUAAAUAAUACUUUACUCGUGACUUAUGUUUUUAAUUUUUUUAAAAAAAUUUUGAAACAAAACGAACGGUUAAAGUUGGACGCGAAAAACCAUAACUGCACUUAAA
rfam:Oryza rufipogon genomic scaffold, chr03